CCUACGGGAGGCUGCAGUGGGGAAUAUUGCACAAUGGGCGCAAGCCUGAUGCAGCCAUGCCGCGUGUGUGAAGAAGGCCUUCGGGUUGUAAAGCACUUUCAGCGGGGAGGAAGGCGUUAAGGUUAAUAACCUUGGCGAUUGACGUUACCCGCAGAAGAAGCACCGGCUAACUCCGUGCCAGCAGCCGCGGUAAUACGGAGGGUGCAAGCGUUAAUCGGAAUUACUGGGCGUAAAGCGCACGCAGGCGGUCUGUCAAGUCGGAUGUGAAAUCCCCGGGCUCAACCUGGGAACUGCAUUCGAAACUGGCAGGCUAGAGUCUUGUAGAGGGGGGUAGAAUUCCAGGUGUAGCGGUGAAAUGCGUAGAGAUCUGGAGGAAUACCGGUGGCGAAGGCGGCCCCCUGGACAAAGACUGACGCUCAGAUGCGAAAGCGUGGGGAGCAAACAGGAUUAGAUACCCCAGUAGUC
rnacentral:rRNA from 1 species